GGUUCCGAAGCUCGAGUUGGCGAAGAGCGCUCGUCUUGUAAACGAGAUAUCGUGAGUUCGAUUCCCACCGGAACCUCCA
rnacentral:tRNA from 1 species